CCUACGGGCGGCAGCAGUGGGGGAUAUUGCACAAUGGGGGGAACCCUGAUGCAGCGACGCCGCGUGGGUGAAGAAGCGCCUCGGCGCGUAAAGCCCUGUCAGCAGGGAAGAAAAUGACGGUACCUGAAGAAGAAGCCCCGGCUAACUACGUGCCAGCAGCCGCGGUAAUACGUAGGGGGCAAGCGUUAUCCGGAUUUACUGGGUGUAAAGGGGGCGCAGACGGCGAUGCAAGCCAGGAGUGAAAGCCCGGGGCCCAACCCCGGGACUUCUCUUGGAACUGCGUGGCUGGAGUGCAGGAGGGGCAGGCGGAAUUCCGGGUGUAGCGGUGAAAUGCAUAGAGAUCGCGCAGAACUCCGAUUGCGAAGGCAGCGUACCGGCGCCAGACUGACGCUGAGGCACGAAAGCGUGGGGAUCGAACAGGAUUAGAUACCCUGGUAGUC
rnacentral:rRNA from 1 species